rnacentral:tRNA from 1 species
CAUUAAAUAUCUAAAGUUAGUAUUGGUCUCUUAAACCAAGUCAUAGUAAAUUAACACUUACUUUUAAUGA